rnacentral:rRNA from 1 species
GACGAACGCUGGCGGCGUGCUUAACACAUGCAAGUCGAACGGACAGGCCCUGCUUUUGUGGGGUGCUCGAGUGGCGAACGGGUGAGUAACACGUGAGUAACACGCACUUGAAUUUGGGAUAACUUCAGGAAACUGCGGAUCAUAUAGGAUAGGAGCUCCUGCUGCAUGGUGGGGGUUGGAAAGUUUCGGCGGUUCGGGAUGGACUCGCGGCUUAUCAGCUUGUUGGUGUGGUAGUGGCUUACAAAGGUUUUGAAGGGUAGGCCGCCUGAGAGGGGGACCGGGCACCUUGGUACUGAGAUACGGCCCAGACUGCUAUGGGAGGCAGCAGUGGGAAAUAUGGCACAAUGGGCCGAAGCCUGAUGCAGCAACGCCGCGUUCGGGAUGACGUCCUUCGGGUUGUAAACCGCUUUCGCCUGUGACGAAGCGUUAGUGACGGUAAUUGGUAAAAAAGCACCGGCUAACUACGUG